rnacentral:misc_RNA from 1 species
AACGCACGAGACCUGCGGACCUGCGGAGGGAUCAUUACAGGACUCGCAAGACUCCUACAACCCUGUGAACUUAACUAUAAGCACGUUGCUUCGGCGGGUGUCUCGGCGAGGGUUCUCCCUCCCCGGGGCGCUAAGCCCGCCGGCAGCCUACUAUACUCUGUCUCUUUGCGUUGGCAUCUCGAGUACAAACAAACAAGUUAAAACUUUCAGCAACGGAUCUCUAGAUCGGAAGAGCACACG